GUGAUUGCGUCAGUCGCAAAAUAUUCACCGUACAGAGCGCACGCUCUUCAAAAAUUGUGUUUGUGUAUUUUUUAAAUACAUUUUUACCUACAAUUAGUUCGUGUAUUUGUUUUGAUAAGUUCUUGGUCAGGAGACACCAUGACGUCGUCGGACUUACCUCCAGCGUACAACUCUAUUCACAACUCUACCGCUAAUAUUGCUGUAAGUUCCAUCUCAAUACCAGAGGAUUUCUUAAAGAUGCCAAAUGAGUCGGAACCAAAUUGUGACGAUGUAUCAGAAUUGAUAACCAACAACUGCUUCGAUGACAAAACCACUAGAAUUGGGUUUUUACAAAAGGUGCUGGCUAUAAAAUUGUUACAGACACUCUUAAUGGUUCUCAUCUUUGGCAUUUUCGCAGCGUGCAAUUACGACAUCCGUAUGACAAUGCGUCAUGGGGCAGAGGUGCACUUUAUAUUAUUAUCAACUUUAAUAUUCCUUGCUAUUACUGGGCUUCUCAUAUACUGCACUAAAGCUCGGCGAGAGAACCCGUACCGAUACAUCUUCCUGAUAUUCCACCCGAUCAGUUUGGCACUAUUUGUCAGUUUUCCGGCGACGAUCCUGUACAUUUUAUCUUCGAUCGCCUUAGCUUUCCUCACCUACGUGUUUGCGCUGUUCUCCGUGCUGCUAUACAGCGUUUUUGCGCUGCAGACCAAGCUACCGUUUGCUGCCAAGCACGCCAUGUUCCUUGCGUGUCUAGUGCAGAUUUUAAUAUAUGCAUUCAUCGUCCCUUUCGUGUGGGGAGUCAACGCCUUCGCAAUUCUAUACAUCUCUCUCGCUCUCUCUCUAGAUUUAAUUUACAUUCUAUGGGACUUAGAAACUAUGACUUCCAAAAAGUAUUGGCAUGAUAUCACACCUGACAAUUUUGUCGACGGAGCUCUUAACCUGCAGUUAGAUUACUACUAUAUGUUUGUUAAUAUCAUGAUGCCACAAAUACGUAAAGGUGUAGAAACAAAUGAACAGUGUUAAUCAUUAUGACAUUAUGGCCAAAUUUUAAAGUUCCAUUAAUGAUUAAAAAUUAAAUUAUGGCGAGAUUUUUUGUAUCCGUUUAAAUGGAGAUGAGAGAAGACUUUUGUACCAAACUCUAUUUUGCUAAUGAUGAUUUGAUUGAUUUGAUUAUGAUGAUGAAGAUGAUGCUGAUGAGUUUGAUGAUACAGGGUGGCUAGCCGAAUGGCACAAUCGCUCACGAAACGCUCACGAAACG
rnacentral:misc_RNA from 1 species